UUCUUCAGCUUGAGGCUUUAUCUUUUAGGUUUCCAGGUUGGAACGUCAGGAUUUUUAAUGAAUGCACUGUGCACGCAGAGAGGGAUCACUGCAGCAAUUUCUCCUAAUCUAUAACAUCACAGUCAUUUCACUCUUUCUCAUCUUGUUUGUUUUUGUUUCUCCUAAAAUAGCUCAAUGCCUCUCAUUUUCACGUGGCAAACAUCCAGCAGAGACAAGACAGGAAGCGAGAAAACUUCCUAUCCAACAGCAAAUAAGCCACGUGACCGAUCUCCCCGGGGGCCUCCAGCCUCUCGGGUCGAUGGAAGAUAAUGGCUGACAAAAGUGGAGUGGAAGAUGGCACCGACUUCAGUCCAGAAAGUGACCUCUGGGUCACCUCUGUUGAGGAACACCACCUGCCUGUGCCUCCUCCUCAUCCUCCUCCUCCUGAAUUACCUGAGGAAGAUGACAACUACUUUGCAGAUGAUGAAGAUGAGCCCAUGGAAGAAGGAGACUGAUUUUUUAUAGUUCAAUGAAGGCAUGGAUUUGUUCAUAAAGGAAGUUUUAAAUUCUACAUUCAGCAGUCAGACAAAUAUGACCUCUUUAGUUAUAACAUUAACAUUGAAUUGAAAUCCUUUCUGUAUCUGCUUGUUGUUUUAUUUAAUUGUAGUGCCAAUGGCCUGAUUAAUUUUAAAAGCAAUAUAUUUAUAUAGU